GUAAGCUACCAUUGUUUGCAUCAGUGUAAACUUCCUCACGCUGUAUUAGUCUACGAAAUUAAUAUUCCUGCUUGAACGGUGAUUAAAAGGAAAAUGUAAAUAUAGAAGAUGCAAUGAAUGCAAUAUAAUUUAAAAUGACGAUUUAUCUUACGCGAAGGAGCUACUUUCGAUGGGUGCUUUGUGCGCAUGCGCGCGCGCAGCCAUGGUGGGUUGCGGAUUCCGAUGUCGCCGGCCAAGCCCCAAAUCUCGCGUGAAAUAACGUGAUCAAACCAAAUCGAAGAAGAACCGAGAACACGGUGUCUAUCAGAAGAGGACAUACGAGAGAAAGGAAUGAAACCCUGAAAAAAGACGGACUUUAUAAUCGACUCCAUAAUAUCUAAGAUUUACUGGGCGAAAGAGCAGAGUCCCAAUACAUGAGGUUCAUGCAGGAUGACGUCACGAGAAGAAGGAAGACGCCAUUGUUGGUCAGAUGUAUCAAGUCACUGAGAUUCCUUCUUGCUUCUUCUCCUUUUGUUCCUCCGUCUGACCGCGUCCGUCUCACCUGGCCGGCUCAGGUGGUCUGCCUUCUCCUGCUCCAUGGCCGACGUCUUCUUCAAGGUGAGCUCCAGAUCCUUCAGGACGCCGAGCAGAUCCUCGUCUGGGACGCCCAGGUGGAUCUCACCUGCUUCCUCCUCAUCCUCCUGCUUCAGGUCAGCUGUAGCCUCGUCCUGAGGAGCGUGUUGACAACAGCAGCCAGGACGCGCACACAUCACCUCUUCUUCAGGGUCUGAGGACAGCCCCGCUUUAGCACUUCAGCACUGACGAGCUAGCACGUACCUUUCAGGACUGUGCUGGGCGUUGGAAACAAUGUUCUCCAUCACCAGCUCCGUUUCCCGCAACUUCUCAUGCAGCUGAGUCAGCUCAAAGUCAGCUGCGGGACCAACAAGACGACAUCCUGCUCUCUGGCGGCUGACUGCUGCCUUUUGACGUGAUCUGACAACACGCACAAACAACCACAGCUUAAUACAGUUGGACUUUCCCGCAGGUCCUGACCCCGGCCCCGUUCCUUUGGCCCUGGCUGUGGCCUCCGUGCUGUGGGCUUUGGGGAGACUCGAACCCGCGGCUCUCUGGCCACGGCCACUGGUGGUGGCACUCUGGCGGUGCACUAAGGGAGGGAAAUGACCUCCUGCAGACAAGGGGGCGACAAAGGGCAGCCAAGUAUAUUAUAAAAGGUGUCCUGAUAGCGUUGUGACGUGCAGCUACACAACAGCUAAGCACACAAUAGCACACAAGCUAGUCACCCUUAAUUGAACAAUAUUGAAGACAUCUGUUAACAUAAACAAGCUUCAAAUAAUUAUAGUUGCAUAUUACACAUACAAAGUCUCCAAGGCAGAUGUGUAUUAGAAAGUAUCCAGUAACAAACGUGUCCGCGUCAUUUAACUUUAAUUUAAAGACAGCAUAAUUCCUUUCCAGACUGGUAAUAAACAAUAGGUUAGUGUUUUUAAUACCUAUACCAUUUGACUCUUUGAAACCUUUUCUAACCUUCCACACUACAAAAUAAUACAGGUAUGUAUGAUCCCUGCUGAUAUCAUAUCGGAUCAAUACUCAAGGCUUCAAUAUCGGAAAUAAAAAAAAAGUAUUAUGAAACUCUCCCACUAACUUAUCAAGUCAAGGUCCACAGUAUUCUUAUUACUAAAAAAAAAAGGUCCGCUUAGGUUAUUGUCGACAUCAAAAGUGUGAGCGCUAUAAAAAAAAAUGUAGUUUGUGCCAACGUGGUAUUAACUUCGUCAUUAUUGUGAGUUCAAACACCGGCCGAGUCAUACCAAAGACUAUAAAAAUGGGACCCAUUACCUCCCUGCUUGGCACUCAGCAUCAAGGGUUGGAAUUGGGUUAAAUCACCAAAAAUGAUUCCCGGGCGCGGCCACCGCUGCUGCUCACUGCUCCUCUCACCUCCCAGGGGGGUGAUCAAGGGUGAUGGGUCAAAUGCAGAGAAUAAUUUCUCCACACCUAGUGUGUGUGUGUGACAAUCAUUGGCACUUUAACUUUAACUUAACAGCAGUAAUCAUAAUUACUGUCUAGUUAUGCAACGAGAAUGUGGACACAGGGACUUCCUGUUCCUGUGCAAAGUACGCUUCAGAAUAAAAGCAUGACAGUAUAAUCUAGGUCAGGCCUGGGCAAUUAUUUUGACACGGGUCGGGGGCCACAUUUAGAGAACAAAAUGUGUCUGGGGGCCGGUAUAUCUAUUUUCAGGGACACUAAUACAAAACUUCACAAUAAUGUCUGAUUGAAUGCUUAAAACUUUAUGACAGACCGCCUUAAAAACGUAAUGGAAUUUUUUUAUUUUUUCUAUGAACGAUAAAACACUGAAUAUUGACAAAAUAUGAAUGUCACACCCCCUUUCGAUCGACAUAUUUUACAAUCAAGUGAAAUAUGAACGCGAAGGGUACAAAAUAAACCCACCUACAAUCUGAUACAUCACUAAGCUUUAGAGCUUUGUUGUGAAAAGCUCCUUCCGCGUCUGUGCAAACGCUUCCCGCCCACACUGCUUGGUGCCUCGUCUGAGCUGCUGUGACGUAGAUUACCAUAGUAACUAAUUAGAUGACCAUAGUAACUGGUAGAGAUGUCCGAUAAAUAUAAUAUUGGAAAUUAUCGGUAUCGUUUUUUUAUUAUCGGUAUGGUUUUUGUUUUUUUUAAUUAAAUCAACACAAAAAACAAGAUACACUUACAAUUAGUGCACCAACCCAAAAAACCUCCCUCCCCCAUUUACACUCAUUUACACUCAUUCACACAAAAGGGUUGUUUAUUCCUGUUAUUAAUAUUCAGGUUCCUACAUUAUAUAUCAAUAUAGAUCAAUACAGUCUGCAAGGGAUACAGUCCGUAAGCACACAUGAUUGUGCGUGCUGCUGGUCCACUAAUAGUACUAACCUUUAACAGUUAAUUUUACUAAUUUUCAUUAAUUACUAGUAUCUAUGUAACUGUUUUUAUAUUGUUUUACUUUAUUUUUUAUUCAAGAAAUUUUUUUGAAUUUAUUUAUAUUAUUUUAUAAUUUUUUUUAAAAAAGGACCUUAU